GCCGAAGGUAGGGUCAGCGAUUGGGGUGAAGUCGUAACAAGGUAGCCGUAGGAGAACCUGCGGCUGGAUCACCUCCUUUCUAAGGAAUA
rnacentral:rRNA from 1 species